CCUACGGGAGGCAGCAGUGGGGAAUAUUGGACAAUGGGGGCAACCCUGAUCCAGCCAUGCCGCGUGUGUGAAGAAGGCCCUCGGGUUGUAAAGCACUUUCAGUGAGGAAGAACGCCUGGUGGUUAAUACCCAUCAGGAAAGACAUCACUCACAGAAGAAGCACCGGCUAACUCCGUGCCAGCAGCCGCGGUAAUACGGAGGGUGCGAGCGUUAAUCGGAAUUACUGGGCGUAAAGCGCGCGUAGGUGGCUUGAUAAGCCGGUUGUGAAAGCCCCGGGCUCAACCUGGGAACGGCAUCCGGAACUGUCAAGCUAGAGUGCAGGAGAGGAAGGUAGAAUUCCCGGUGUAGCGGUGACAUGCGUAGAGAUCGGGAGGAAUACCAGUGGCGAAGGCGGCCUUCUGGACUGAAACUGACACUGAGGUGCGAAAGCGUGGGUAGCAAACAGGAUUAGAUACCCGAGUAGUC
rnacentral:rRNA from 1 species